rnacentral:rRNA from 1 species
GUGAGGAAUUUUGCGCAAUGGGGGCAACCCUGACGCAGCAACGCCGCGUGAGUGAUGAAGGCCUUCGGGUCGUAAAGCUCUGUCAAGUGGGAAGAACCUAUUAUAUGUUAACAGCGUAUGAUAUUGACGGUACCACUGAAGGAAGCACCGGCUAACUCCGUGCCAGCAGCCGCGGUAAUACGGAGGGUGCAAGCGUUAUUCGGAUUUACUGGGCGUAAAGGGCGCGUAGGCGGUUGGACAAGUCAGGUGUGAAAUCCCGGGGCUUAACUCCGGAAGUGCAUCUGAAACUGUUCGGCUUGAGUAUGGUAGAGGGAAGUGGAAUUCCUGGUGUAGCGGUGAAAUGCGUAGAUAUCAGGAGGAACACCGGUGGCGAAGGCGACUUCCUGGACCAAAACUGACGCUGAGGCGCGAAGGUGUGGGGAGCAAACAGGAUUAGAAACCCGAGUAGUCC